rnacentral:tRNA from 1 species
GUUAAGGUAGUUUAAGUAAAAUUCUAUGCUGUGGUUAUAGAGAUGUAGUCUACCCUUAGCAU